AAUGGCGGCCAGGGUGGGAAAGGCGCUUCUGCAAACCCACAGGGGCACUGGGCCCCGCUGCCCCUCUGUAUGGCAAGCAGACCUAUCAGCUAUCACAACACCUAUAAGCUUCAGCAGAACUAGUCUUGGUUCAAACUGGUGUAAGAGCAGGAAGAAGUCCAGUGGAAUGUGUUUAAAUGAUUCUGCUACUUUCUCUCUGCUCUAAUUUUCAUAGAGAGUAAAGACAAGCCAGACCAGACCAGCUCCGUGGUGUUAUCUCCAAUGUCAAUUUCCAGAACUAGCUCAAAUGGAUCAAAGCAUGAGGAUCUUCACUCACCUUGUGGGAGCCCAACAGUCUCCCUGGGAACAUCCUACUAGUACCUUUACAUGGAAAGAGACAAGGAAACAUCAUCCCACCUGAUCAGUGAACUCUCCUCUGAGGAGGUUUGUCUCCACUGUCAAUGGGCAUGUUUGCCUAAAAUUAAAUAUCCUUACUGAGUGACAAAAUUUGGAGAAUUCUAACCCAGAAAAUUAAACAGUGAAAUGUUUAGUCA